CCUACGGGUGGCAGCAGUGGGGAAUAUUGCACAAUGGGGGAAACCCUGAUGCAGCGACGCCGCGUGAGUGAAGAAGUAUCUCGGUACGUAAAGCUCUAUCAGCAGGGAAGAAAAUGACGGUACCUGACUAAGAAGCCCCGGCUGACUACGUGCCAGCAGCCGCUGUAAUACGUCGGGGGCAAGCGCGAUCCGGAUUUCCUGGGUGGAAAGGGAGCGUAGACGGCAGCACAAGUCUGGAGUGAAAUGCCGGGGCUUAACCCUGGAACUGCUUUGGAAACUGUGCGGCUGGAGUGCAGGAGGGGGAAGCGGCAUUCCUAGGGUAGCGGUGACAUGCGUAGAUAUUAGGAGGAACACCGGUGGCGAAGGCGGCUUACUGGACUGUAACUGACGUUGAGGCUCGAAAGCGUGGGGAGCAAACAGGAUUAGAUACCCUAGUAGUC
rnacentral:rRNA from 1 species